rnacentral:lncRNA from 1 species
CAAGUUUUAACCAAAAACCUAAGUGUUGAAUAUCAGCACAAUAUUACACUGUUUAUAAUAUUGCCGGUUUUUGUAGCUCUGACUGUGUGGUUUCUGAGAUGAUGAUGAUGAUGAUGAUGACGACGACGACGACGACGACGACUCUUCUCUUGUCCCCUUUGGGGACCCACCCAGAGACGCUGCUGAGUGCUUCCCAUUAAAGCCCAGACAGGCCCGAGAAGAAGAGGAGGGAGGAGCCGAAGCCUUCAAAGGCCGGCGACGGAUUCGUCUGCGAAUGGCUGCCUUUGCCAGCAGGGCGUGAAAAGGGACGGCCUUUGCCUCCCUUCUCGGACCUUCUCCGCAGCACUUGGGGUUCAGGUGCCCCCGACUGCUUCCGACUCUGCUGUUACGGUUCAUAGUGACUGACAGGCCCUCGCCUUCCUGGAGCAGUCGAUCCUUCCUCCCCCCCCUCCCGCAAAUCCGCGCCCCCUUUAAGGCCAGGUGAACUGGUGCAGGUCUCGCCCAUGGAGGCGAAGUACUCUGUGAAGUCCAUCAUUUAUUAUGUCUUUGCUAUUCUUUCUUAGCCUGAGGGCUGCCUUUCCCCACAGAAGUUCAAGCCCGCUUACCUGUUUUUCUUCCUCCUUCUCCCUCUGUGUUCACAACAGCCAGGCAAGGUAGGUCAGCCUGGAAGAGACAGGCCGGCUGAUGCUCUUGGGACGGCCUUUCUGCAGAACGACCAAAUCGCGGCUGGGCUCCGUGAAUGCGCACGGCCAGGAUUCAGACCUUUUCCGAACAGAUUUAACACUCGAGUCAACAGUGUAAGUGUAAGAGGAUCCGGCAGUGGGAAGAAUAAAUUCCUCCCGAACCAGCGGGACAAAGAGCCACGGGGUCUGGAACUGGAAGAAGGCGGAGAAGUUUAGCUGAAAUUAUGUUUGCUUGAAAAUCUCCCACCACGUUCCUAUUUUAUGAUUUGGAUGGCUUUCUCAAAACCUCGCCUGUAGAAAUCUGAAGGAAACAGAGACUGGAGGGACUUUCUGAGCAGUUUUUAAGGUGUGCUCGACUGGCUGGCCAGUCAUUUUGAUGUUUUGCCUUCUUUCAGGUGUGGUUAUACACCUGCUUAUUUAAUGGACCAAAUAGAUUUUUUAAAAAAAUCUGACAUAGACUGAUGAGUGUUAUUAAAAUGGAUGUCAAUUGUAUGAAUUAAAAAAAUACAGAUUAAUAAAAAAGAACAUGGAAAGAGAAAUACUUAACUA